CACAUUUUGCUCCACCUUAUCUCCCCUCUUUGGCCGGCUCACUCUUCCUUUCUUUUCAUUUUUUUUUUUCUUUCAUACACUCUUCUACUCUUACAUCCUCUCUCACCGACACUUCCACACCACCACCAUUUCCACCAUCAUUUUCCGGCAAGAUCACCAAAAAAUUCUUGUGAACCCAUAAACACCUUCACAUCCUUUUUUUGAGGUUCUAGCUAAUCUCCUUGGAGUUUGGAGAAUUAGGCUUUUGUGGUUGAGAGUCUUUGUGACAACGAAAUCAAAUUUAGGUCAAUGCCCUUUCACUUUGGAUGACGCGUUCUUCCCUGCUGCCCAUGGGGGGAAGAGAUUCUUUGAUUAUGUGUGGGUGAGGCUGCUAUCCAUGGGGCCAAAAGACCACAUGCAAGAGAGGUCUUAUUUGACAUGCUCUCUCUGCUGCCCAUGGGGGGAGAGAAAAACCUUGAGGGUAUGAGUGAGGCUACUGUCCAUGGGGCCAGGAGUCUGCAUACCAGAGAGGACAAUAUCAUGCCAGUUGUGAAUGAGUGGAUCCCCUAACCGGUAUAUGUGAUAGUGUGGUAUAUUUGUGAUAAUUUAUCUUACAUUAGAUAUUAUGGCUUUGGAAAUUAUAUUGAUGGUGCUCACAGAUUCUAGUAUAUAGUUUCAAGGUAUUUACUUUGAGAAACUUUGUGUUUUAUUAUUCAAUCAUUCUUGCAAUAUCAUAUUACUAUUAUUGAAAAAUGGAACUUGCAUUUCCUCCACCCCCAUUUAUUAUGCUACUUACUAGGCUCUAUCUCAUUCCAUUAUUUUAUAAACUUUUCAAAAUAGGCAACAAUCUUUUGAGACAUGGUGGCUAACAGUAGUUAGACUAACUACUGAUGAAGGCUGAACUUUUGUAAUGGAGAUAUUAGAUGAUGUACAUCUUAGAAUAAGCUUGACUCAUUUUUUUUGUAUAUUAUAGUGGUUGUGAUGUUAUUCCUACUGAUUGGACAAGCUAAUGAUAUGUAAUUAUUUAUUCAAACCCCUAUUCUUUUGUGGCCAAUGGUCCUUGUAAUUUUUGCUUAGAGGUCUAACUUACUUUGAGAGUAUAUUCCAUGGAAUUAUCAUGAUAAUUCUUGAUGUUGGUACUUGAUAUGAUUUAUGUG